AUUGACGCUGGCGGCAGGCCUAACACAUGCAAGUCGAACGAGUGGCGGACGGGUGAGUAAUGUCUGGGAAACUGCCUGAUGGAGGGGGAUAACUACUGGAAACGGUAGCUAAUACCGCAUACCAUCAGAUGUGCCCAGAUGGGAUUAGCUUGUUGGUGGGGUAACGGCUCACCAAGGCGACGAUCCCUAGCUGGUCUGAGAGGAUGACGUGGUGGGGGGGGUAACGGUUACCCAAGGGGCGGAUCCCAGGUUGGUUGGAGAGGAGGACAAGCCACACGGGGGAAAUUGGCAAAAGGGGCGCAAGCCGGAUGCGGCAAGGCCGCGUGAAUGAAGAAGGCCUUCGGGUUGAAAAGUACUUUAAGCGGGGAGGAAGGUGUUGUGGUUAAUAACCACAGCAAUGGACUUUACCCGCAGAAGAAGCACGGGUAAACUCCGUGCAAGCAGCGGGGGAAUAC
rnacentral:rRNA from 1 species